rnacentral:rRNA from 1 species
ACUUAGCGGCGGACGGGUGAGUAACGCGUGGGUAACCUGCCUUACGCUGGGGGAUAACAGUUAGAAAUGACUGCUAAUACCGCAUAAGCGCACAGGGCCGCAUGGUCUGGUGUGAAAAACUCCGGUGGUGUAAGAUGGACCCGCGUCUGAUUAGGUAGUUGGUGGGGUAACGGCCCACCAAGCCGACGAUCAGUAGCCGACCUGAGAGGGUGACCGGCCACAUUGGGACUGAGACACGGCCCAA